rnacentral:rRNA from 1 species
GAUGAACGCUGGCGGCGUGCCUAAUACAUGCAAGUCGAGCGAACAGACGAGGAGCUUGCUCCUCUGACGUUAGCGGUGGACGGGUGAGUAACACGUGGAUAACCUACCUAUAAGACUGGGAUAACUUCGGGAAACCGGAGCUAAUACCGGAUAAUAUAUUGAACCGCAUGGUUCAAUAGUGAAAGACGGUUUUGCUGUCACUUAUAGAUGGAUCCGCGCCGCAUUAGCUAGUUGGUAAGGUAACGGCUUACCAAGGCAACGAUGCGUAGCCGACCUGAGAGGAUGAUCGGCCACACUGGAACUGAGACACGGUCCAGACUCCUACGGGAGGCAGCAGUAGGGAAUCUUCCGCAAUGGGCGAAAGCUUGACGGAGCAACGCCGCGUGAGUGAUGAAGGUCUUCGGACCGUAAAACUCUGUUAUUAGGGAAGAACAAAUGUGUAAGUAACUAUGCACGUCUUGACGGUACCUAAUCAGAAAGCCACGGCUAACUACGUG